rnacentral:snRNA from 1 species
GUGCUGGCUUCAGCAGCACAUAUACUAAAAUUGGAAUGAUACAGAGAAGAUUAGCAUUGCCUCCAUGCAAGGAUGACAUGCAAAUUCAUGAAGUAUUCCAUAUUUUU